ensembl:lncRNA
GACAGAAGGGAUUAUUGCUUCUGAAGAAGAAAAAAAUGAUUACAAGAUGGACACCUACUGCAUGCAAUAAAGUGAAUGAAUAUUUCUUAAAGUGGAAGCUGAGAUAAAGGAUUUAAUACAGAUGGCAGUGGACAUUCAGUAGUAAAAAGUCUUUGCUUACUGAAAAAAGAAUAUAUUCUGCUCAAUAAAAAUGUAACAAAACAGUGGAUGUGAUGCUUUCUGAAACUGACCCAUCCACAUGAGAGAGGAGAAAAAUGUUAUUCUGGUCAGAAUAACUUCAACGAACUGAAAUCAAACAGAUACAGGACUGAAGUGAAAGGAAGCAGAAGAGGCUGAGGAUAGCAUGGAAGGUGUUGAUUUUCUAGGUGGCCUCACACAUCAUAAGCCUGAAGCAAGAGCAUCUGUGGGAAAUUCUGUCCAUUAUCAGAGAACACAUUCUGCAAUCCUCUUGACUCCAACCCAGUGUCACUCUUGGAUUACUUUGCAGUCCCUGUGUGGUCCAGACUCUCUCUAAGGAUUUUCUCUUUUCUUAUGUUACAACUUCAUUGCAAGAGGUAUGAAAGAGGGGAGAAUUUAAGUUGAUGCACUGCACAUGUUAUCAUGGUUUACCUUAGAGCACAGUUUAUGCUUAUUAAUUUGUUUUAUAUUAAUAUAUAUUAAUUUUGUUUGUAUUGAUAGGAUUUUCAUCAUCAAUUGUGAGGAUUUGAUUUUACUAUUUCACCAAAAAAAAUUUAAAUAUGUUGCAUGCAGUUGAAGAAGAUAUAAGUAAGCCAGAAAAUAAUUAUCACUACAUAGUAUUUCACAGUGCAAACGUUUCAGAUUGUUACUGAAAUUAAUAUGUUGACAUUACUUUUUUCUGUUAAUUUAUAACACUAUUGUCCACUUUGUUCAGUUUAUUUCAUGUAUCACAAAUAGAUCUAAUUUCUUGAAACAUGUAUCACCAUGAAAUGAUCACUAACAACAAUAACAAAAUAAUUACAUUGCCCUUAGAUUCUUGGGUCUUAGUGAUUUUCUUCUAAAAAUAAAUCAGAUGGAUUUAAACAAGGGAAGCCAACUAUUUAAUAAGGGUAAGAAGAUAAAGGGUCCAAAAUUUAAAUUUAUGUUACUUAUAAACACAUCAUAUGUUCUAUUUUUGUAAAUAAUUUCAGAGAAAAAUAGGCUAGUUUUUUUUUCAAAAGCUAUCAUCAGGUAACUAAUAUUUUAUUUACAUGUAUGAUUAUUAAUCAGUUUCAGUUCAAAACAAUGCAAUCGUUUAGUUUCUUCAGACUCUAGUUGCACAUGGAUGAGUCUCUCAUUUUUAGUCAAACUCCUAUCACUAAUCACAGAGGAACAAAGAUGUGUCCAAAUUUUGAAGGAACAUGGGUGUCCCAAAGCUCAGAUAAUGAAUUUUAGUUCUCUCUGGAGAAAAGCCUUUCCUGUAUGUAGUCUGGCAAUAUUCCAAGAUUUCUUUUUAAAAGUAACUCCAUAUGUGUACCGAAAAUAAGCUAGUGAUGUUUUAAAUCAACUGGAAAGAGAGGCUGUUCUUUUCAAUAUUUUUUUCCUGAGCAUAACUUUGAAGUGCAGCAUUUGGGGAUUAUGAAGGUUUGGGUUACCUGCUGAAUGAAGGCAUGGAAAAUUACUUGAAAGUACCCUUUUUUUUGAAACUCUACUUUAAACUUAUGAAAUAUCACCUGUGGUUAAGAAAAGGUAUGCAAGUCAAAGCAUUUUUUUCAACCUAAAGACAAAGAGUUAAUUUUAAAUUGUGAUUAUAUUUUCCAAGGUUUCUAUGGCUGCAAGAUCAUAAUCAAAAGUUUAUGGUUCACUUAUUUCAGAGGUAAGAGAUGAUAAGGACAAGUGAAUGCUAUUAAAUUAGAGAAAAUAUGAGUAAAUUUAUAAUGAGUUAGGCACUGUGAGCAAAGCUGAUACAAAGAUGAAGCAAAGCUUACUAUGCUCUAAUGAUUGUCUCACAGCAGGUCUUUUAAGUGAUUUCAUUCUCAAGUAAAUUCAACUUGAUUUUACUUCUCUGUAAUGUGUUCUGAAUUUACAUGAAGCAUUCAAAGACUUAUAUAUAUAUGUAUAUAUAUAUAUUCCAUUUUUGUAAUAUUUUUAGCUGGGGAAAAUUUGCUGCAUUGUCAAAUUUGUAUCAUGUAAAUGUAUAUAAAGGAAAAUAUAUUUGAAUAAGAAUUCUCUUUCAGAAA